UCCUGGAGACUCCUACGGGAGGCAGCAGUGGGGAAUCUUCCGCAAUGGACGAAAGUCUGACGGAACAACGCCGCGUGAGUGAUGACGGCCUUCGGGUUGUAAAGCUCUGUUAAUCGAGACGAAAGGCCUUCUUGCGAAUAGCUAGAAGGAUUGACGGUACCGGAAUAGAAAGCCACGGCUAACUACGUGCCAGCAGCCGCGGUAAUACGAAGGUGGCAAGCGUUGUCCGGAAUUAUUGGGCGUGAAGCGCGCGCAGGCGGAUCAGUCAGUCUGUCUUAAAAGUUCGGGGCUUAACCCCGUGAUGGGAUGGAAACUGCUGAUCUAGAGUAUCGGAGAGGAAAGUGGAAUUCCUAGUGUAGCGGUGAAAUGCGUAGAUAUUAGGAAGAACACCAGUGGCGAAGGCGACUUUCUGGACGAAAACUGACGCUGAGGCGCGAAAGCCAGGGGAGCGAACGGGAUUAGAUACCCCAGUAGUCC
rnacentral:rRNA from 1 species